ACAAGGCUGAGUAUAGCGCACCAAUCCUGGUGGGAACAUGUCUUUGUCUGGACACAGCUGUGUCGACACUUUGGGAAYAAUUCAACUUGGCUAAGCUUCUCUAGUGUCCGUGAGUUAUUUACUCUGAAAAAUUAGAACCUAACAGAAUGAAAUGACUAAUGACUCUCUAACACAACAACAAUUAAUUUGCCUAUACUCCAUUUCAACGCAUUUAUCUUUUCUAUAGAAGUAAACUCAUCAUCAGCUGUAGUUGCACAUGGAUUUUGAACCUGGCUGUGGAGACAAUAAUGGAAACCUUAAGCCUGGUACUAACCUACACACAAUAGUGACCUAAAUACCUAACUACAUUUCUUAUGAAAUACAGUGAAAGGGAGCUACACAACUAUAUUGUAUUCUGGAACACAGAACCCAAACCCACCAAUCCUGAUCCAACCGAGGGUGGCAGCGGUGGCCCAGCGAGUCCUAAACCAAGAAAGAUUGUAGCCUUCACAGCCAAACUUAACAUCUGUGACAGCUACCCAACUCACAGAGGUACCUGAAGUUUGCCAACAUCCUGGUCAAUGAGGGAGAUGGCUACAGUACUGACACAGGGAAAUUCACCUGCUCGCUAGCUGGCUUG